AGCUUUGCGCAGUGGCAGCAUCGUAGCCAAUGAGGUUUAUCCGAGGCACGAUUAUUGCUAAUUGAAAAAAGGAAUAACCAGUGGCGCCUGGUUGACUUGGUUAAGCAUCCAACUCUGAGUUUCAGCUCAGGUCUGGACC